GGUUUUUUGAAUUAUAAUUUAAGAUUAGUUCUGCUCAAUGAUUUGAAAUUAAAUAGCCGCAGUAUUUUGACUGUGCUAAGGUAGCAUAAUCAAUUGUUUUUUAAUUAAGAACUGGAAUGAAGGAAUUGAUGAGAUUAAGACUGUCUAAUAUAAAAUGUUAAAAUUUAAAUUUUAAGUAAUAAUUCUUAAAUAAGAUUAUGGGACGAGAAGACCCUAUAGAAUUUAAUAUAAUUUUUUAAAAUAAGUAUAAAAUAAGAUUUAAUAAAAUUAAUAUUUUAUUGGGAGGAUAAUUAAAUUAAAUUAACUUUAAAAUAACAAUUAAACAUUAAUUUAUGAUAAUAGUUGAGUAAUUUUAUUAUAAAUAAUUAAAAUUAAUUAAAAAUUAAUUACCUUAGGGAUAACAGCGUAAUAUUUUUAAAAAGAUCAUAUUGAUAAAAGUGUUUGCGACCUCGAUGUUGAAUUAAAAUAAAAAUUAAAUGAAGAAGUUUAAUAUUUUAGUCUGUUCGACUAUUAAAAUUUUA
rnacentral:rRNA from 1 species